AAUAGAUACCCGGGUAGUCCACGCCGUAAACGUUGGGCGCUAGAUGUGGGGACCUUUCCACGGUUUCCGUGUCGUAGCUAACGCAUUAAGCGCCCCGCCUGGGGAGUACGGCCGCAAGGCUAAAACUCAAAGGAAUUGACGGGGCCCGCACAAGCGGCGGAGCAUGCGGAUUAAUUCGAUGCAACGCGAAGAACCUUACCAAGGCUUGACAUACACGAGAACGGGCCAGAAAUGGUCAACUCUUUGGACACUCGUGAACAGGUGGUGCAUGGUUGUCGUCAGCUCGUGUCGUGAGAUGUUGGGUUAAGUCCCGCAACGAGCGCAACCCUCGUCGCAUGUUGCCAGCACGUUAUGGUGGGGACUCAUGUGAGACUGCCGGGGUCAACUCGGAGGAAGGUGGGGAUGACGUCAAAUCAUCAUGCCCCUUAUGUCUUGGGCUUCACGCAUGCUACAAUGGCCGGUACAAAGGGCUGCGAUGUCGUAAGGCGGAGCGAAUCCCAAAAAGCCGGUCUCAGUUCGGAUUGAGGUCUACAACUCGACC
rnacentral:rRNA from 1 species